rnacentral:rRNA from 1 species
UACUGCAUUUUUUCUUACACAUGUGUUUUUCUUUUUUUGAAAACUUUGCUUUGGUAGGCCUUCUAUAUGGGGCCUGCCAGAGAUUAAACUCAACCAAAUUUUAUUUAAUGUCAACCGAUUAUUUAAUAGUCAAAACUUUCAACAACGGAUCUCUUGGUUCUCGCAUCGAUGAAGAACGCAGCGAAAUGCGAUAAGUAAUAUGAAUUGCAGAUAUUCGUGAAUCAUCGAAUCUUUGAACGCACAUUGCGCCCUUUGGUAUUCCAAAGGGCAUGCCUGUUUGAGCGUCAUUUCUCCCUCAAACCCUCGGGUUUGGUGUUGAGCGAUACGCUGGGUUUGCUUGAAAGAAAGGCGGAGUAUAAACUAAUGGAUAGGUUUUUUCCACUCAUUGGUACAAACUCCAAAACUUCUUCCAAAUUCGACCUCAAAUCAGGUAGGACUACCCGCUGAACUUAAGCAUAUCAAUAGCCGGAGG